rnacentral:rRNA from 1 species
GAAUUCGCCCUUAGAGUUUGAUCCUGGCUCAGGAUGAACGCUGGCGGCGUGCCUAAUACAUGCAAGUCGAGCGGUAAGGCCCUUCGGGGUACACGAGCGGCGAACGGCUGAGUAACGCGUGGGAAUUCACCCCAAAGUGAGGGAUAAGCAUCGGAAACGGUGUCUAAUACCGCAUAUGGUCUUCGGAUUAAAGUUUUAUACGCUUUGGGAGAAGCCCGCGUACGAUUAGAUAGUUGGUGAGGUAAUGGCUCACCAAGUCUACGAUCGUUAGCUGGACUGAGAGGAUGAUCAGCCAGACUGGAACUGAGACACGGUCCAGACUCCUACGGGAGGCAGCAGUAAGGAAUCUUCCACAAUGGACGAAAGUCUGAUGGAGCAACGCCGCGUGCAGGAUGAAGGCUUUCGGGUCGUAAACUGCUUUUGUUAGCGAAGAAUUUGACGGUAACUAACGAAUAAGGAUCGGCUAACUCCGUGCCAGCAGCCGCGGUAAUAAGGGCGAAUUC